rnacentral:rRNA from 1 species
UUCGAGUGGCGGACGGGUGAGUAACGCGUGGGUAACCUGCCUUACACAGGGGGAUAACACCUGGAAACAGGUGCCAAUACCGCAUAAGCGCACAGGGCCGCAUGGCCCGGUGUGAAAAACUCCGGUGGUGUAAGAUGGACCCGCGUCUGAUUAGCUUGUUGGCGGGGUAGGGGCCCACCAAGGCGACGAUCAGUAGCCGGCCUGAGAGGGUGGACGGCCACAUUGGGACUGAGACACGGCCCAAACUCCUACGGGAGGCAGCAG